rnacentral:rRNA from 1 species
GACGUAGGUCCCGAGCGUUGCCCGGAUUUACUGGGCGUAAAGUGCGCGUAGGCGGUUCGGCAAGUCGCCUGUGAAAGUCCGGGGCUCAACCCCGGGGUGCCGGGCGAAACUGCCGGGCUAGAGGACGGCAGAGGAGGGUGGAGCGGCCGGUGUAGCGGUGAAAUGCGUAGAGAUCGGGAAGAACACCUGAGGCGGAAGCGCGCAACUGGGCCUCAACUGACGCUGAGGUACGAAAGCUAGGGGAGCGAAUGGG